UCAAUUAAAUUAUGUACUAUAACAAACUAUGGAAGAUUUCUCAAAUGAUUUGAUACUAAUACACAAAACAAUCUGUUAGUUUGUUCUGGGCGUUUCUUUUCCGAUAAAAAGUUUUUAACACAGUGAAUCUGCAGAACUCCUUUACUUUCUCUUUUGGUCUUUUGGUAUCACAACCCCUUCUUCCUUGGAUAGUUGUGUGUGUGUGUGUGUGUGUGUGCACGCGCGUGUGUGUGUGCAUGCACACGCACACACAUGCACACACAUAUCCAUGCACACGCAGAAACCACUGGCAGAUUUUUCUUUUCCUUCAAGGCUACCCUCACAGACACCCCAGGUCCUGUGUUUUCUAAUGGAAAACAAGUGAUCAUUGUAAUGCCUUCAGAUGCCUUCUACACUUCACUCUUUUUUUUUAAUAUUAUAAAGUCAUAGAUUUCAUAGAGAUGUAUAAUUUCAUACGUAAUUUCAUAGUAACUGAUAAUACUUUCACAUGUGUUUGUAUUGGCUGCUGGAAUGCUCAGAGCCCAAGU